CAUAAGCUCUGACCUGACAUCCAUUCCCUGCCGGAUCGUUAGCCAUGAACAUCAUUCACCCGGAACACUCAUUCCAUCCCUACCUGGUCGUCGGUGGCCUCUGUUACUCCAUUGGAUCUGCCAAUUCAAUCCCCUCAACUCAACUCCGCUGCCCGCACCGCUACCUGGAUUUUUCUAUCUCUACACUUAAACUUGUAAAUAAAUACUCACCUUCGUCUUA